UUUAGAAUUAAACUUUUAUUUUUAANAAUUAAUAGUUAUAAUCUUUAAACUUAAAAAAAUUGGAGGUAUUUAAAUCUAAUUAGGGGAAUUUGUUUUUUAAAUGAUAAUCCACAAGAUACCUUACUUUAUUUUUUUUUAAUUUGUUUAUUGUCGUUAUAAAAAUAUUUUAUAAGAAUAUUAAUUUUUAAUAAUUAAUAUAAUAAUUUAUUUCAGAUCAUAGUGCAGUAAUAAUAAAGUUAAAAUGAGUUACAAUAAAUUUAUUUGAAUAAUGGAUAUAGAAUUGAAAUAUUUUAUUAAAAGUGGACUUAAUAGUAAAAUUUAAAAUAUUAUAAAUUUGAAUUUAGAAUUAAAUAUGU
rnacentral:rRNA from 1 species